rnacentral:rRNA from 1 species
UACGGAGGGUGCAAGCGUUGUCCGGAUUUAUUGGGUUUAAAGGGUGCGUAGGCGGUCCCAUAAGUCAGUGCUGAAAUAUUCCGGCUUAACCGGGAGGGUGGCAUUGAUACUGUGGGACUUGAGUAAAGUUGAGGUUGGCGGAAUUGACGGUGUAGCGGUGAAAUGCUUAGAUAUCGUCAAGAACACCUAUUGCGAAGGCAGCUAACUAAGCUUUAAUUGACGCUGAGGCACGAAAGUGUGGGGAUCAAACAGG